UUGGGCGUAAAGCGAGCGCAGGCGGUUAGAUAAGUCUGAAGUUAAAGGCUGUGGCUUAACCAUAGUAUGCUUUGGAAACUGUUUAACUUGAGUGCAAGAGGGGAGAGUGGAAUUCCAUGUGUAGCGGUGAAAUGCGUAGAUAUAUGGAGGAACACCGGUGGCGAAAGCGGCUCUCUGGCUUGUAACUGACGCUGAGGCUCGAAAGCGUGGGGAGCAAACAGGAUUAGAUACCCUGGUAGUCCAUGCCGUAAACGUUGGGCACUAGGUGUGGGGGACAUUCCACGUUUUCCGCGCCGUAGCUAACGCAUUAAGUGCCCCGCCUGGGGAGUACGGCCGCAAGGCUAAAACUCAAAGAAAUUGACGGGGGCCCGCACAAGCGGCGGAGCAUGCGGAUUAAUUCGAUGCAACGCGAAGAACCUUACCAAGGCUUGACAUAUACUGGACUGCGUCAGAGAUGGCGUUUCCCUUCGGGGCUGGUAUACAGGUGGUGCAUGGUUGUCGUCAGCUCGUGUCGUGAGAAG
rnacentral:rRNA from 1 species